rnacentral:tRNA from 1 species
GCCAGCAUGGUGUAGUGGUUUGAGCAUUGGACUAUAACUUUGGAGACCAGGGUUCAAAUCCCCAUUCGGCCA